rnacentral:rRNA from 1 species
GAUGAACGCUGGCGGCGUGCCUAAUACAUGCGAGUCGAGCGAACGGACGAGAAGCUUGCUUCUCUGAUGUUAGCGGCGGACGGGUGAGUAACACGUGGAUAACCUACCUAUAAGACUGGGAUAACUUCGGGAAACCGGAGCUAAUACCGGAUAAUAUUUUGAACCGCAUGGUUCAAAAGUGAAAGACGGUCUUGCUGUCACUUAUAGAUGGAUCCGCGCUGCAUUAGCUAGUUGGUAAGGUAACGGCUUACCAAGGCAACGAUGCAUAGCCGACCUGAGAGGCUGAUCGGCCACACUGGAACUGGGACACGGUCCCUACUCCUACGGGAGGCAGCAGUCGGGAAUCUUCCGCAAUGGGCGAAAGCCUGACGGAGCAACGCCGCGUGAGUGAUGACGGUCUUCGGAUCGUAAAACUCUGUUAUUAGGGAGGAACCUAUGUGUAAGUAACUGUGCACAUCUUGACGGUACCUAAUCAGAAAGCCACGGCUAACUACGUG